GGCGCUGUGGCAUAGUGGGUAAAGCUGCAGCCUGCAAUGCUGGCAUCCUAUAUAGGCACUGGUUUGAGUCCUGGCUGCUCCA
rnacentral:tRNA from 1 species